AGAACCAUCACUCGCUAAUGGCUGACACGCGUUCUGGACAUUGUCCUGGUCCUGCAAAAGCGACUUUCGGCUUCCCCACUUUGGAAUCAGGAAAACUAUCUGCACUUGCGUUAUCUGUGAACUUCCCGCCUAAAACUGCCUGAACGUAAAAUGGUUUCUCUGCAAAGCAUGGUCAACGUUCAAUAAAGGUUCAGGUCAAUCUCCCCAUGAAUCAUCAUUGUCGUUGGCUGGAAUGGUGGAUUGAGAUCUUCUACCACCCUUGUGUUUCAUGUUCAGAUAUGAAGGCAUGUGUUCGUUCCUGGGCUUGUCAACUGGACAAGGCCGGCUCAGCAGAUUAUUGAAGAUGCCCAACAUAAGCACCAUAGCAGUGAAUGUGUUGAAAUAAGGUCUAAUUUAUCUUUGGAUGGAUUGGUUCAUUUGCAACUAUAUAUAUUAGAAUAUGUAUAAUUAUAACCGCAAUUAUGUAUAUUAGAAUUGUUCACUGAAGGGUGGUAUCUUGAUGCAAUCAUUCAACGGGGGGAUAGAUCGUUAACGAAAAGAAUGCCCGUUAGCUUCGUAAAGUCAACAUAGUUUUGAUGUGUUGCAGUAACUGGAAGGCAAGCAGACUACCUAUAUUGAGUUUCUUUUUUUUAAACAUUUUACAGUAAAUAUAAAAACUUGGAUUAACUGAAUGGUUUACGAGGUAAACGGAAAUCCAUGUUGGUAACAGUCCUUUGACGUUCUUUUGUCCGAAAAUCAGCAGUUCGACAGUUGUAGAAAAUUUUCGAUGGAUGCUACAACAGAACAGGCUGGGUAUGAGGGGGGAAUUUAAGUCGCUAAUUUCAGUGGCCAUUUUGUUUGAGAAGGUGCAGUAGCGACUUGCGUGCUCAGCACAGAACUGGCAUACCUUUUAUCGGAAUUCUGGAAAUUGAUUACUGAUCUAAAGCUAAUAAUUUAUUCGACUACAUUGUGGAGAAAAUGUAGUCAUUCUGAACUGCAAGGUAACAAAUCUAAAUACAUUUUGCUUGAGAUGACUAGAAAAAGUGAUUUUUAUUGUGGUACCCAUC